CGGCAACAGCUCAAAUUUGAAAUCUGGCUCUUUCAGGGUCCGAGUUGUAAUUUGUAGAAGAUGCUUCGGGUGAGGCUCUGGUCUAAGUUCCCUGGAACAGGACGUCACAGAGGGUGAGAAUCCCGUACGUGGUCGCUGGCCUACACCGUGUAAAGCCCCUUCGAC
rnacentral:rRNA from 1 species